GGUUUCUAAAUCGUCGAUUGCCAAAAUUGUGAAGGAUGUGUGUGCUUGUUUAAAUAAACAUUUGCGGAGCUAUGUAAAGCAACGUUACACACGCGUAUUCGAUCCAGACCAAUAGAUCAAUGAGAACGCCAACUGUAGCGAAAGCCCCUCUUUGAUGUCGAUAAAUCGAGUAUCAGCAACGUACCGUUUCAUGCACUCACUGCAAGGACGAUGCAGGCCUGGAUCCAGUCAGUUCGAGGAGGGUUUAAGUGGGUAAGGCAUCGAUCGUACCACAUGAUUCGAGUGGUUGCGGAUGAUGAAUUCCACACUACCCAGGCAUCGGUGUCUUAAGAAGGUUUUCGUCACGUUUGAACCGGCCAUUCACUAACAAUACAUCUACCAGAACCUAGAACAAAACGGCAGCAAAAUACAAACAAUACAUGUGUACAUCUUCCUUGGCUAUCCUUACUGCAUUUUCGUUUCAUGCAGCGCCUGCAACCAAAACGAUCACGUAACCGACCGGACAAUCAAUUGAACUUCCAUGCUGGAAGGUGGAGCUUCACUUCAUGCACCACGUUCCAUGCGCACCUGACUGUGACUGAACACCCCACAUUUCCAGGCUCUCCAGCAAUCUUUCCUUGGAAUGCCAUGAGGCUUUCAAUUUCCACGAGGAACGAGGGGGCAUGCACAAGUUGUGUCUGUGCAGCCUGGAGUUUCCGUGCGUAGCCCUGUAACCGGGCCUCUUAAGCUAGUUAUAUAAAAAAAAGGCUAGGCUAAAAAAGAAGGCUAUUUUUUGUUUGUUAUGAAACAGUUAAAAUUAUGCGAUAUUCCCGCGCCUUUUUUAAGAUUUAACAUUUAUUAUUACUAAUAAAUAGUCUAAGGUUUAUUAUCUUUAUUUUAAAAAGGCUUUCGGCUUAAUUUAAAUGUACGCUAAUUCAAUGUUCCUUUUUAUUUUCAGCUACCGUCCACUAAACAACAAUGGCUGGAGGUAUCACAAAGGUUUGAGCAGCGUUGGAACUUCCUCCAUGCCAUUGGUGCGAUGGACGGAAAGCAUGUCAAAAUCCGCGCUCCUGCACACAGUGGAUCCGAUUACUACAAUUACAAAAACUUUUUUAGUAUUGUGCUUCUAGUAAUAGUGGACGCUGACUACAAUUUUCUGUUCGCGGAUGCAGGAGGAAAGGGAGGCAUUUCGGAUGGAGGAAUACUUCUAGAGUUUACGAGAGGCAAGUUACUUUUUUGGAAUCUACAAAACUCGCGUAAAAGAAAUAACGGAAAUUGUAAUCAAUGCUGUUUCAAGCAUCGUACUUGUUACGAAUUAAUCUCAGGAUGACAGCACACUUCCCCUAUUCAUUAAGAUUUAUAAUUGUUAUUAUAAUUUUAUUAAGUUAUCGAGCAAGUUUAUAGUAAUGGAUUGAUCUCGAGACAGCGGUACUACACUUAAAAAAGGUAUACACAAGUAUUCAAGUUUAAGGAUCAAUUUGGUAUGAAUCAAAUAAGUGUGGCGCUAACCUGGGGUAAAUUCUUAAACCAUGUAAGCACCAGUACUACGAGCAGCGAUGUAGUUUUAUCCUCAUCCAACAUAGUCACUCAACCGUUGUUAGUUAAGUACACCCAUACUCACCUCUCGCAUAUAUUUACGCGGUUCCCGUCCUGAUCCCGAAGCCAGUCCUGCUCCCGAUGCCAGGCCUGAUCUUGAAGCCCGUCCUGCUCCCGAUGCCCGUCCUGAAAUCGGUGCCAUUCCUGAUACCGGAGCCAGUCCUGCUCCCGAAGCCAGUCCUGAUCCCGAUGCCAGGCCUGAUCCAAAAGCCCGUCCUGAUACCGGUGCCCGUCCUGAUCCCGAUACCCGUCCUGAUACUGGUGCCCGUCCUGAUCGCGAUGCCCGUCCUGAAAUCGGUGCCAGUCUUGAUACCGGUGCCAGUCCUGCUCUCGAUGCCAGGCCUGAUCCCAAUGCCAGCCCUAUUCCCGAAGCCCGUCCUGAUACCGGUGCCUGUCCUGAUGCCAGUGCCCGUCCUGCUACCGGUGCCAGUACAGAUACCGGUACCCGUCCUGAUAUCGGUUCCAGUACUGAUAUCGUUCCUAGUCCAGGUCUCGAUUGCUGUACCGAUUUCGUUCGCUGUCCUGACGCCGUUCCCGGUCCUGAUCCGUUCUGAUUUACAUUCAUUUUUUUUUAAUUUUUGUUUGGUUCUGCUAAAAUAAUAUACACAUGAAUGUUUAUUUAAUAUUAACUCGGAAAAUAAGUGAUAAUUAAUACCGUACUUUUACAAUGCCGGCUUUAUGCUUGUUUUGUUUUAUUUUGUUUUGUUGUGAUAAUGCUCUUCCUUUUCCUGUUGACACCUACAAUGCUCAUUUUGAGUUUUCGGGUUGCUGUCAAAAAGAUUUCGGAUGAGAUUUCAGCUCGCGGAGCUGAAAUCUUUGACGUAAAGAUUUCGCCUGGCCCCCCCUUUUGACCGAAAACUUUUUGACAUUUCGAUUAAUGUUCUGUCUUAAAUCGUUAUACUGUGCCCUAGUCCGUCCUAUACUAGAAUUUGCUUGCGUUGUUUGGUGUCCAAACCAAGUGACCUAUAUAGACAUGAUAGAAAAAGUUCAGAAAAAGGCGACACGCGCUAUGUUUUAUCGUCUUCCUUGGUCAAACCAAAUGCCACGCUCCCCGCACCAUGUCAGGUGUCAGUUAUUUGGUCUCGAAACUUUAGAACACAGGAUAAAGAAUGCUCAAUGUAUUUUCAUGCAUAAAUUAUUAAAUGGGCUUAUUGAUGCACCUGAAAUUUUAAAUCUGAUCAGUUUUUCUGCACCUACUAAGGAUCUUAGAAGCAGGUCUUUAAUCAGGAUCCCAUUUCGAUCUUCUUCAUUUGGCGCUAACGAUCCUUUAAUUAAAAUGUGUGUCGGCUACAAUAGACUUGAAUCAUCUGCAGAU